CACAUGGCCACUUCCCAUAGGUUUUACCCCAGAUUUUCAUGAGCAGCUGUCCUAGUGAAAGUCAAGUCUGUUUUAGUGAGUAUUUGAGGGCUUCCAGAGCACAGUGCCAUCUCAGGGGAAUUCUGCUGGUUGAGUUCUACUGAGGCUUUGAGAUGAGUUGCAAAUCCUGAAAAUGUUCUCCUUGCCCAGGAAUUGCUUCGGUGUUACUUCACAUCAUCCAUUAAAAAUUUGAUGCCUGGAACAAGU